rnacentral:rRNA from 1 species
AAUCAACGCUGGCGGCGUGCCUCAGACAUGCAAGUCGAACGAUUAAGACUUCCUUCGGGAAGUGCAUAAAGUGGCGCACGGGUGAGUAACACGUAAGUAAUCUACCCUCGAGUGGGGAAUAACGUUCGGAAACGAACGCUAAUACCGCAUAAUGCAGCGGCAUCGCAAGAUGACAGUUGUUAAAGGAGUAAUUCGCUUGAGGAGGAGCUUGCGGCAGAUUAGCUAGUUGGUAAGGUAACGGCUUACCAAGGCUACGAUCUGUAUCCGGUCUAAGAGGACGGUCGGACACACUGACACUGAAUAACGGGUCAGACUCCUACGGGAGGCAGCAGUCGGGAAUUUUGGGCAAUGGGCGAAAGCCUGACCCAGCAACGCCGCGUGAAGGAUGAAGUAUUUCGGUAUGUAAACUUCGAAAGAAUGGGAAGAAUAAAUGACGGUACCAUUUAUAAGCUCCGGCUAACUACGUGCCAGCCGCCGCCGUAAGAC